UAUAUACUCUACGGAGUUAAAUGUAACAACUUUUAACAACGGAUCUCUUGGCUUUCGCAUCGAUGAAGAACGCAGCGAACGUGCGAAACGUAAUGUGAAUUGCAGAAUUCAGUGAAUCAUCGAAUCUUUGAACGCAUCUUGCGCUCCUUGGUAUUCCGAGGAGCAUGCCUGUUUGAGUGUCGUGAAUACUCUCAAUUUCAAUCUUUUUGUUUGAAAUUGGAUUUGGAUGUUGUUGUUGAUUCCAUUAACGACUCAUCCUAAAUACAUUAGCGAUCUGGCUUGAUCACACACAAUGUGAUAAAUUAUUUCAUCAUUGUUAUACUCAGGUCAUGACUGCUUCUAACCGUCGAAAGACACCGCAUAUAUGCAUGUCAUUUGACCUCAAAUCAGGUAGGACUACCCGCUGAACUUAAGCAUAUCAAUAAGCGGAGGAAAAGAAACUAACAAGGAUUCCCCUAGUAACGGCGAGUGAAGAGGGAAAAGCUCAAAUUUGAAAUCUGGCGGUCUUAAGGCUGUCCGAGUUGUAAUCUAGAGAAGCGUCUUCCGUGC
rnacentral:rRNA from 1 species